UACGAAGGGGACUAGCGUUGUUCGGAUUUACUGGGCGUAAAGCGCGCGUAGGCGGAUCGCUAAGUCAGGGGUGAAAUCCCAGGGCUCAACCCUGGAACUGCCUUUGAUACUGACGGUCUGGAGAUCGGGAGAGGUUGGUGGAAUUCCGAGUGUAGAGGUGAAAUUCGUAGAUAUUCGGAGGAACACCAGAAGCGAAGGCGGCCAACUGGGCCGACACUGACGCUGAGGCGCGAAAGCCAGGGGAGCAAACGGG
rnacentral:rRNA from 1 species